UCCUACGGGAGGCAGCAGUGGGGAAUAUUGCACAAUGGGCGAAAGCCUGAUGCAGCGACGCCGCGUGAGGGAUGACGGCCUUCGGGUUGUAAACCUCUUUCAGCAGGGAAGAAGCGCAAGUGACGGUACCUGCAGAAGAAGCGCCGGCUAACUACGUGCCAGCAGCCGCGGUAAUACGUAGGGCGCAAGCGUUGUCCGGAAUUAUUGGGCGUAAAGAGCUCGUAGGCGGCUUGUCACGUCGAUUGUGAAAGCCCGAGGCUUAACCUCGGGUCUGCAGUCGAUACGGGCUAGCUAGAGUGUGGUAGGGGAGAUUGGAAUUCCUGGUGUAGCGGUGAAAUGCGCAGAUAUCAGGAGGAACACCGGUGGCGAAGGCGGAUCUCUGGGCCAUUACUGACGCUGAGGAGCGAAAGCGUGGGGAGCGAACAGGAUUAGAUACCCCGGUAGC
rnacentral:rRNA from 1 species